CCUCAGAGUUCCCUCAGGAUAAAGUCCAAUGCCUGUAGAACAGCCUGCCCAUCCUGGCCCUGUUCUUACCCAGACAGCCUUUUCUCCAGCACCCUUUCCUUAUCCACUGGCACGAUCCGUCAUCAUGCCGGCCUCACACGUGUAGUUGUCAUGAACUCCGCCAUAGGUAUAGGGGAAUCCUUGGAGCUCCUCUCCUGGCCCCCAGCUUCCUCUUCAGGGUGGAUGGAGAUGUCUCUCCUCUGCAGUGUGUUCUUUCCUGACCAACCAUGUAGAGCAUUCGCAUGCAUUCAGCCCUCUGUGCAUGCUUAGUGCAUAGCGUCCUGACAAUCCCUUCCUAUCCUUAAACCCCAUCUGUUUGUCUGUCCCUCUGUUCCUGAGUUGUCUGUCUACCCUGUGCUUGGGAUCUUCAUUGCCAGUGAGCAGCAACUUGCAUAUAGCAGGCUUCUAGGAAGUAUUUAUGACCUAGGACUUUGAGACCUGACACAGGAGGAUAGCAAGUUUGAAGCCAUACUGGUCUACUUUUUUCUUUUUAAAGAGGCCCAAGGGGAUGGAGAGGUGGCUCAGGGAUUAAGAGCAUGUUCUACUCUUCCAGAGGACCCAGGUUUGAUUCCCAGCACCUACAUCAGGUGGUUCACAGUCACUUAUACCUCCAGCUCCACGGGGACCUGAUGCCUCUGGCUUCCACAGGUGCCUGUACUCAUGUGCACAUACCCACACGUACACAUAAUUUAAAACAAUAAAUAAAUCUUGGGAGAAAAAGCGCUGUCUGACCUGAUGUAUUUAGAAUCAGAAAGGAUGGGUACACCUUGCUCUUCAGUGCUGGUCGUAUCUCCCUAGAGGAGCUGAGGAAGACCCACAUGCACAUACACUUUAGGAGUUUUAUGCUCCAUGAGAAAAAGAAAGGAA
rnacentral:lncRNA from 1 species